rfam:Sarcophilus harrisii ctg7180001492280, whole genome shotgun sequence.
CAGGAUGUGGUGUAAAGAGAGCACAAAGGGUUUUGAGUCCUUUGGUAUAGGUUCAAAUCCUAUUGUCCUAG